UUACUUGCUUUUCACAAUCACACACACAUAUUCACUCAUACACAUACGUAUAAAACUACACGUGUACAUGUGGCUUAAGGCUUGUAUCAUGGCUUGCGUUUACAAGUGUUUCGAGACACGAUAGUCCAUAGUCACUAAUCCACUACAGUGACUACUGUUUUCCCGAAAAUUAUACGCGUAAUUGAAUUGUUGAUAUUGAACUGACUUUUAGUGGUGUAGAAUAGUCUUUUUUUCUUUCCUUAGGUAUAUUUAUAUGCAAAUUCUUAU
rnacentral:lncRNA from 1 species